rnacentral:lncRNA from 1 species
GGGAGAUGCAGGCUGCUCGUCUUGAGGCUCGUGUUGAACAGAUGUUUGAUGGCUUGGAUGAUGCUGAUGGUGCGGAGGAUGUACCCUUUGAUGAACUGGUUGGCAUGCAGGGACCUGUAUUCCAUUUGGUUGAGAAUGCAUUCACAGUGAGUUUAUAUGUCCCAUAAUUUCCUUAUUUCUUUUGGUGCCUGAUUGGAACUGGAUUUUAAUUUUGUUUUUUAAGUCAUUAUUAUUACAUGGAAUGCUAUUAAUCAUGUGCUUGAUAAUAUAUUUCCCUAGUUAACAUGAAACUCAGCUUGCUGCCAUGUAUGAAGCCUAUAGCUGAUCUGAUAUGGAUAGCUACUUCUGCAUUCUAGAUGUCAACUCAUCUAAUUUGCAAUGGCAGUAAUAAAUUUCUUAAAAUCUUGCAAUGCACAGUGAUGUAAUUUUCAAGUCUACUUAUUUUGUUCUUCAUGUAGACUUCUAUUGGAUUUAGUUUCAUGAGACCAUGCUAGGUGGAUUGGGUGGACUGACAGGUUAGCAUGCCUAUUUUACUGUUAUUAGUUUGCUGGGACGGUGAUAUACAUGUACAGAUGUAGUAACUUUCGAUCAAUCUCGUUAUGUCUGACUGUAGUUACUGGUUUAUAAGCCGUUCCAAUUUUCUGAAAAUUUGUUAUGCAUGAAAUUCCUCUCUUAGCUUUUUCUUGAAUAACUGAUCACUGGAAGCAAGUACUUGGGUAUUAGACUGUCUCCAAAUAAGUUUAAUUCUGUCAUCACUCAAUAAAGCAGAUGGGAAAUUGUCAGACAGUUGUUUUUGUAAAGUGGCAUGGUUUCUACAGCCAUGGUGCACUAUCAUUGGUUGUCAUUCACAGAUUUAAUUUCCUUACCUGGUGAACAAGAUGCCUUUACAUCAUCUCCAUGCUUGGAUGUCAGUGGAAUCAUUACUUGAUCUGCAUGUAAAGGUUUAUUUAUGAAUUGCUUUACAAAAUCAGCAAGCUCUUCUAAUGCAUUUUGUCUUAUAUGCAACGGAUUAUUUUGUUGCUGAACUUCCUCCUCUUCUUUGCAGGUUCUAGCAAGCAAUAUGAUUUUCCUUGGAGUUGUGAUCUUUGUGCCUUUCUCAUUAGGACGUGUUAUACUCUACUAUUUAUCCUGGAUUUGGUUUUCUGCUACUGGUCCUGUAUUAUCGACUGUCAUGCCACUUACGGAAUCGGCCCUGUCCUUGAAGAAUGCAGUGACUGCAGUCGUG